rnacentral:rRNA from 1 species
UUUAUCGGAGAGUUUGAUCCUGGCUCAGGACGAACGCUGGCGGCGUGCCUAAUACAUGCAAGUCGAGCGGACAGAUGGGAGCUUGCUCCCUGAUGUUAGCGGCGGACGGGUGAGUAACACGUGGGUAACCUGCCUGUAAGACUGGGAUAACUCCGGGAAACCGGGGCUAAUACCGGAUGGUUGUCUGAACCGCAUGGUUCAGACAUAAAAGGUGGCUUCGGCUACCACUUACAGAUGGACCCGCGGCGCAUUAGCUAGUUGGUGAGGUAACGGCUCACCAAGGCGACGAUGCGUAGCCGACCUGAGAGGGUGAU